AGUGAACGCUGGCGGUAGGCCUAACACAUGCAAGUCGAACGGCAGCGCAGUAAGAGCUUGCUCUUACGGGUGGCGAGUGGCGGACGGGUGAGGAAUACAUCGGAAUCUACUUUUUCGUGGGGGAUAACGUAGGGAAACUUACGCUAAUACCGCAUACGACCUACGGGUGAAAGCAGGGGAUCUUCGGACCUUGCGCGAUUGAAUGAGCCGAUGUCGGAUUAGCUAGUUGGCGGGGUAAAGGCCCACCAAGGCGACGAUCCGUAGCUGGUCUGAGAGGAUGAUCAGCCACACUGGAACUGAGACACGGUCCAGACUCCUACGGGAGGCAGCAGUGGGGAAUAUUGGACAAUGGGCGCAAGCCUGAUCCGGCCAUACCGCGUGGGUGAAGAAGGCCUUCGGGUUGUAAAGCCCUUUUGUUGGGAAAGAAAAGCAGCAGGUUAAUACCCCGCUGUUCUGACGGUACCCAAAGAAUAAGCACCGGCUAACUUCGU
rnacentral:rRNA from 1 species